AGAUUAAGACAUCCUAAUGUUGUUUUGUUCAUGGGCGCCGUUACUCGCCCACCACACCUGUCAAUACUGACAGAGUUCCUGCCCAGGGGGAGUUUGUAUAGGUUCCUGCAUCGUCCCAAUCCCUUGAUGAAAAGAGGCGAAUGCGAAUGGCUCUUGAUGUGGCCAAGGGAAUGAAUUACUUGCACACAAGCCAUCCUCCCAUUGUGCAUCGAGACUUAAAGUCCCCCG
rnacentral:misc_RNA from 1 species